GGAACGGAGGGCUCCAGAACGAGCAGGCGAACACCGGGUUUAAGAAAAGUUUAUACUCGGAGUGCUGCGCGCAAGAAGGUCCUGAAACCGGCGAUUUAAUUGCGGAAGAAAGUUCUCUCCAAAGGCCAGUUUUGAGACUGGACAGUGAUGAUGUCCAUGCAAAUGAACGAGGCAGAGGGCUCGGUGAAGGUGGCCGAGUGGCAGCAGACAUACUACGCCCACGACUCCGGCAUCCAAUCAGGCGCCACCACCGUGCGAGAUGACGAGGGCACAGAGUACAGCGCCAAGAAGUAUGCCGUCACCAACACGUUGGUGGAAAACCCUACAGAGGUGGAGGCCCAGUACACCCUGACGCGGGCCCAGCGAGUGAGAGCGGCCAUGUUCCCAGAGACCCUGGUGGAGGGCGAGGCGGUGCUGUCCACUCAGACUGACCCGGGUCAGCAGACCAACGUCCAGCGGCUAGCUGAGCCCUCGCAGCUCCUCAAGACCGCAAUCGUCCACCUCAUUAACUACCAGGAUGACGCCGAGCUGGCCACUCGCGCCGUGCCCGAGCUCACCAAGCUGUUGGCCGACGAUGAUGCGGUGGUGGUCAACAAGGCGGCCAUGAUCGUGAACCAGCUGACACGGAAAGAGGCGUCUCGACGGGUGCUGAUGCAGUCCCCCCAGAUGGUGGCGGCGGUGGUGCGGGCCAUGCAGAACACGGGAGACAUGGAGACAGCCCGUUGUGCUGCCAGCGUCCUCCACAGCCUGUCCCACCAGAGAGAGGGCCUGCUCGCCAUCUUCAAGUCCGGGGGCGUCCCUGCCCUGGUCCGCAUGCUCAGUUCUCCCAUGGAGUCAGUGCUGUUCUAUGCCAUCACGACCCUCCACAACCUGCUACUGCACCAGGAGGGAGCCAAGAUGGCGGUGCGCCUGGCCGACGGCCUGCAGAGGAUGGUGCCCCUGCUGAAAAAGAGCAACCCCAAGUUCCUGGCCAUCACCACUGACUGCCUGCAGCUGCUCUCCUAUGGAAACCAGGAGAGCAAGCUUAUCAUCCUAGCCAACGGGGGCCCUGAGGGGCUGGUCUUCAUCAUGAGGAACUAUAAUUAUGAGAAAUUGCUGUGGACCACCAGCCGUGUGCUCAAAGUUCUCUCAGUGUGCCCUAGCAACAAGCCCGCCAUAGUGGAAGCUGGGGGCAUGCAGGCCCUGGGACAGCACCUGACCGGCUCCAGCCAGCGCCUCACACAGAACUGCCUCUGGACCCUGAGGAACCUGUCUGAUGCUGCCACUAAACAGGAGGGUCUGGAUGGCCUGCUGCAGGUGUUAGUGGGACAGCUGGGUUCGGACGACGUCAACAUGCUGACGUGCGCCACGGGGAUCCUGUCCAACCUCACCUGCAACAACUCCCGCAACAAGGCCCUGGUCACGCAGUGCGGCGGCGUCGAGGCGCUCAUCCACGCCGUGCUGCGGGCAGGAGAAAAGGAGGAUGUGGCCGAGCCCGCCGUCUGCGCCCUGCGCCACCUGACGUCACGCCACCAGGACGCCGAGCUGGCCCAGAAUUCUGUGCGGCUGCAUUAUGGUAUUCCUGCCAUUGUCAAGCUGCUGGGGCAGCCCCACUACUGGCCUGUGGUGAAGGCCACGGUUGGUCUGAUCCGUAACCUGGCGCUGUGCCCAGUCAAUCAGGCCCCACUGAGGGAUGCUGGAGCCAUCCCCCGAUUGGUCAACCUGCUGCUGAAGGCUCACCAGGACACCCAGAGACACGCCUCCAGUUCUCAGCAGACGUACCAGGAUGGUGUUCGUAUGGAGGAGAUAGUGGAGGGCUGUACAGGAGCCCUGCACAUCCUGGCUAGAGACCCCGUCAACAGGGGAGAGAUCGCCAGCAUGCAGACCAUCCCACUCUUUGUACAGCUGUUGUACUCGUAUGUGGAGAAUGUGAAGCGUGUGUCUGCGGGGGUGCUGUGUGAGCUGGCCCUGGACAAGCAGUCUGCGGAGAUGAUCGACGCAGAGGGAGCCUCCGCCCCGCUCAUGGAGCUACUGCACUCCAACAACGAGGGCAUCGCCACCUAUGCAGCAGCCGUUCUCUUCCGUAUCUCGGAGGACAAGAGUUCUGACUACAGGAAGCGUGUGUCCGUGGAGCUCACCCACUCACUGUUCAAACACGACCCUGCGGCCUGGGAGAUGGCCCACAAUGCUGUACCCAUGCAAGCUGCAUACUUGGCGGAUGAGCUGGAUGGAGGCUACCCCCCCUAUGGCUACUCUGACCUGGGCAUGGGCGGGAUGCCACUAGAAGCAGAGAUGCAUGAGCAGUACAUGCCUGAGAGGGCCUACGAUCCCCGACAGGCCUACCCAGAGCCCCUUUAACACACAGGGCCAGGUCAGUGAUGUAGAUGCUACCCAGAGCCCCUUUAACACACAGGGCCAGGUCAGUGAUGUAGAUGCUACCCAGAGCCCCUUUAACACACAGGGCCAGGUCAGUGAUGUAGAUGCUACCCAGAGCCCCUUUAACACACAGGGCCAGGCACAAAAUGGAAAGGGUGAAAUUGGCGUGAACACCAUGGAGGGACAGCUGAACGAGGAUUUCACCACAAAGGGAAACUCCUAUUUCAUGGGGAGACAUUGGCCAAUCAGGGGCUGUUGUCAGAAAACACAAGAAAAAGAAAAGAAAAAAACAAUAACAAGAAUUUAGUGUUCCUCAAAAUGAAAAGUUGCUUUGUUACAGUUAAUGUGGAGGGAAAUUGAACUUUAACUUGUAGAUGCUGUGUUGGUUUUAGGCGUUUCCUUGCAUAUUUACAUUGCAGAUUAUUAUUAUUUUUCUUCAUGUGUAUAAUUUACAUGGCGGUAUGCAGAGCCACAUACAGUAGUCCUCAACAAUAACCAGUAACAUUGAGUUCAGACAAGAAGUCUUGUUCGCCACGUUAUGAGACCGGUGGCUAAUUGGAACAGCAGCGGUCCCUGUGCUGCCUAUAACUGUCUAUCCCCGCAGUCCAGUCCAUGAUCCAGACUGCUGCUGGGUCUGAGGUUCCGAGACACGCACGCUCUCCCCUGAAUGUGUGUACACAGCCACUCUCUCCCAGUCGAGUGGUCUCCCAGGCACACUAAACUACAACUUCAGCUGGUGCGGUUGGUUCACCUCUGUUCCUGUGGACCGGUCUUGCUCACCAACAGUUAUAGACACUCAACCGACACAGUAUACAUAUGCAUCGCGGACUAAUACAUUGUGCUUCAACAUAAAACGUGUGUAUGAUCCAAAACGUCAUGUCUGGCAGGCCCGCACCCUUUUACAGCUACUACAACUGACGUUUCCUCAAAGUAUGUACGUCGUUGUGGAGGAGGUGUUUUUUUAAUGUCUUGAUUUUUG